GCCUGGGUGGCUCAGCGGUUGAGCAUCUGCCUUCAGCUCAGGUCAUGAUCCUGGAGUCCUGGGAUCGAGUCCCACAUCAGGCU
rnacentral:tRNA from 1 species